rnacentral:rRNA from 1 species
AGAGUUUGAUCCUGGCUCAGAACGAACGCUGGCGACGCGUCUUAAGCAUGCAAGUCGAACGGCAACACGGGGCAACCUGGUGGCGAGUGGUGAACGGGUGAGUAACACGUAGGUGAACUGCCCUUGGGCUGGGGAUAGCCUGUGGAAACACAGGGUAAUACCGAAUGAGGUCAUCGGAUUGUGAUCUGAUGAUGAAAGGGGCUAAGGCCUCGCCUGAGGAUGUGCCUGCGGCUGAUUAGCUAGUUGGUGAGGUAAUGGCCCACCAAGGCGACGAUCAGUAGCCGGCCUGAGAGGGUGGACGGCCACACUGGGACUGAGAUACGGCCCAGACUCCUACGGGAGGCAGCAGCUAAGAAUCUUCCGCAAUGGACGAAAGUCUGACGGAGCGACGUCGCGUGGGUGAUGAAGGUCUUCGGACUGUAAAACCCUGUCGUCAGGGACGAAGGUUGAGGGGUUAAUAACCCUUCAGCUUGACGGUACCUGGAGAGGAAGCCCCGGCUAACUCUGUGCCAGCAGCCGCGGUAAUACGGAGGGUGCAAGCGUUGUUCGGAAUUAUUGGGCGUAAAGCGCGUGUAGGCGGUUUGUUAAGUCUGGUGUGAAAGCCCUGGGCUCAACCUGGGAAGUGCAUUGGAUACUGGCAAACUUGAGUACGGGAGAGGAUAGUGGAAUUUCGAGUGUAGGGGUGAAAUCCGUAGAUAUUCGAAGGAACACCGGUGGCGAAGGCGGCUAUCUGGACCGAUACUGACGCUGAGACGCGAAAGCGUGGGGAGCAAACAGGAUUAGAUACCCUGGUAGUCC